rnacentral:tRNA from 1 species
GUCAGUGUGGUGUAGUGGUGUGAGCAUUGGACUAGGACUCUGAAGACCAGGGUUCCAAUCCCUGUUUGACC